AGAGGGGUGCUAGCGUUAAUCGGAAUUACUGGGCGUAAAGAGUACGUAGGUGGGAUUAUCAAGUUGACUGUGAAAUUUCUGGGCUUAACCUAGACAGGUCAGCCAAUACUGGUAAUCUAGAGUGCGGUAGAGGGUAGUGGAAUUUCCGGUGUAGCGGUGAAAUGCGUAGAGAUCGGAAGGAACACCAGUGGCGAAGGCGGCUACCUGGACUGACACUGACACUGAGGUACGAAAGCGUGGGGAGCAAACAGGAUUAGAUACCCUGGUAGUCCACGCUGUAAACGAUGACAACUAGCCGUUGGAAGCCUUGUGCUUUUAGUGGCGUAGCUAACGCGCUAAAUUGUCCGCCUGGGGAGUACGGCCGCAAGGUUA
rnacentral:rRNA from 1 species